rnacentral:rRNA from 1 species
GACGAACGCUGGCGGCGUGCUUAACACAUGCAAGUCGAACGGAAAGGCCCUGCUUUUGUGGGGUGCUCGAGUGGCGAACGGGUGAGUAACACGUGAGUAACCUGCCCUUGACUUUGGGAUAACUUCAGGAAACUGGGGCUAAUACCGGAUAGGAGCUCCUGCUGCAUGGUGGGGGUUGGAAAGUUUCGGCGGUUGGGGAUUGACUCGCGGCUUAUCAGCUUGUUGGUGGGGUAGUGGCUUACCAAGGCUUUGACGGGUAGCCGGCCUGAGAGGGUGACCGGCCACAUUGGGACUGAGAUACGGCCCAGACUCCUACGGGAGGCAGCAGUGGGGAAUAUUGCACAAUGGGCGGAAGCCUGAUGCAGCAACGCCGCGUGCGGGAUGACGGCCUUCGGGUUGUAAACCGCUUUCGCCUGUGACGAAGCGUGAGUGACGGUAAUGGGUAAAGAAGCACCGGCUAACUACGU